rnacentral:rRNA from 1 species
AAGUGGAUUAGUGGCGGACGGGUGAGUAACGCGUGAGUAACCUGCCUUAGAGAAGGGGAUAGCCUUUGGAAACGAAGAAUAAUACCCUAUGAAACCAUAACCUCGCAUGAGGCCUUGGUCAAAGAUUUAUCGCUCUAAGAUGGACUUGCGUCUGAUUAGUUAGUUGGUGGGGUAACGGCCUACCAAGACAGCGAUCAGUAGCCGGCUUGAGAGAGUGUACGGCCACAUUGGGACUGAGACACGGCCCAGACUCCUACGGGAGGCAGCAGUGGGGAAUUUUGCACAAUGGGGGAAACCCUGAUGCAGCGACGCCGCGUGAUUUAGAAGGCCUUCGGGUUGUAAAAAUCUUUUCUAUGGGAAGAAAAUGACAGUACCAUAGGAAUAAGGACCGGCUAAUUACGUGCCAGCAGCCGCGGUAAUACGUAAGGUCCGAGCGUUGUCCGGAAUCAUUGGGCGUAAAGGGUACGUAGGCGGGUAAGCAAGUUAGAAGUGAAAUCCUAUAGCUCAACUAUAGUAAGCUUUUAAAACUGCUCAUCUUGAGGUAUGGAAGGGAAAGUGGAAUUCCUAGUGUAGCGGUGAAAUGCGCAGAUAUUAGGAGGAAUACCGGUGGCGAAGGCGACUUUCUGGCCAUAACCUGACGCUGAGGUACGAAAGCGUGGGUAGCAAACAGGAUUAGAUACCCUGGUAGUCCACGCCGUAAACGAUGAGUGUUAGGUGUCUGGAGUAAAUCUGGGUGCCGCAGCUAACGCAUUAAACACUCCGCCUGGGGAGUACGCGCGCAAGCGUGAAACUCAA